UACGGAGGUGGCAAGCGUUGCUCGGAAUCAUUGGGCGUAAAGGGCGCGUAGGCGGGGAGGUAAGUCGGGUGUGAAAUCCCUUGGCCCAACCGAGGAACUGCGCCCGAGACUGCUUCUCUUGAGUCCCGGAGAGGAAGGUGGAAUUCCCGGUGUAGCGGUGAAAUGUGUAGAGAUCGGGAGGAACACCGGUGGCGAAGGCGGCCUUCUGGACGGUGACUGACGCUGAGGCGCGAAAGCGUGGGGAGCAAACGGG
rnacentral:rRNA from 1 species